rnacentral:sRNA from 1 species
CCAGAGACCCUAUGCAACGGGCAGCUGGGCUGCAGUGACCCCGCUUUCCUCACGCCCAGCACUGACCCUCUUGCCGCAAAGCUGCACAGCAUCCUCACUGAUGAGGCGUUUGAGUUUUACUGUAGCCAGUGCCACAAACAAAUCAACCGCCUUGAGGAUCUUUCUGCCCGCCUGAGUGAUCUUGAAAUGAAUAGUCCGACAAAGCGGCUCUCCAGCAAGAAGGUGGCAAGGUAGGUGGGUCUCUGGUUCCUGCUGAAAAACGUUCUGAAGUGGAUAAUUAGUCAUAGUUUUUUAAAAAACAUUUUAAAAUGUUCUUUUCCAAGGUAUUUUUUAAACUCCUGCAAGUUACUUUACAUGGUUUGGGGCUGAAGGUAUCCUGAGGGAGUGUUGGGAAAGGGGUUUCCAGGGCUGUGAAUUUGGACCCGGAUUUGUGACCAGGGAGGGUACGUGUCAGAGCUUUUGGUGCUGGGCCUCUUGUGUGUUCACUAAGGUCUGGAAGGGGCCGCCAUCCCCAGAUGUCUGCUCUAUG